UGGGCCCGGUGGGCAGAGGCGGAGGCAGGGGCACGGGCAGUGGAGGCGGGGACGGAGAAGAGGAUCUCUUACACCAGGGGCCAUGUAGCCCAGGCUGCCACCACCUGUCACUCUUGGCCCCCGUUCAGAGGACACGGCAUUCUUCCCACGGCCUGGCUGGGGGGAGAAUGGUGUGGAAUAAGCAGGAAGAGAAAAGGGAGGGGGCCCCAGGGGGCCCCGGGGGAGCAGCCCUUUCCCAGGCCUUGCCCAGUACCCCUGACUUGGUCAAGACCAGAGGGGGACCCUGGCAGGAAAGGGGCUCCCAGGCAGGGCUGAAGGGCAGAACGACACCCAGGCCCAGCCCAACUCUGCCACCUGCCUGCUACAACUCCUAGGUCCCCCAGAAUCUGAGGAAAGCCCGCAGGUCCAGGGACAAUCACCUGACCCAAGUACCCCGCUCUGUGCCUCUGGCUCUGGACCUAUCGGACCAUCUUUGGGUGGCACCAAGAGCAAGGUGCAGAGUGGCAGCAAGAGUGAGCCAUGGCGUGUGCAGAACGGCCGGGGGAUAAUACAUGAGACAGAGUCUAAGUUGCUUAGAGCCUUGCUAAGUUCUGAGGCUGGCUUUGAACUUGCCGUCCUCCUGCCUCCGCCUCCUGAACCUCUGGGAUUACAGGUGUGCGCCACCGCGCCAGCUUGUCAAAGGUUCUUGACAUAA
rnacentral:lncRNA from 1 species